rnacentral:rRNA from 1 species
CCUACGGGAGGCAGCAGUGGGGAAUCUUGCGCGAUGGGCGAAAGCCUGACGCAGCCAUGCCGCGUGAAUGAUGAAGGUCUUAGGAUUGUAAAAUUCUUUCACCGGGGACGAUAAUGACGGUACCCGGAGAAGAAGCCCCGGCUAACUUCGUGCCAGCAGCCGCGGUAAUACGAAGGGGGCUAGCGUUGCUCGGAAUUACUGGGCGUAAAGGGAGCGUAGGCGGAUAGUUUAGUCAGAGGUGAAAGCCCAGGGCUCAACCUUGGAAUUGCCUUUGAUACUGGCUAUCUUGAGUAUGGAAGAGGUAUGUGGAACUCCGAGUGUAGAGGUGAAAUUCGUAGAUAUUCGGAAGAACACCAGUGGCGAAGGCGACAUACUGGUCCAUUACUGACGCUGAGGCUCGAAAGCGUGGGGAGCAAACAGGAUUAGAUACCCUGGUAGUCCACGCCGUAAACGAUGAGUGCUAGUUGUCGGCAUGCAUGCAUGUCGGUGACGCAGCUAACGCAUUAAGCACUCCGCCUGGGGAGUACGGUCGCAAGAUUAAAACUCAAAGGAAUUGACGG